UCAAAUCUGAAUGUGUCCCCUUCUCUGUAAUUGAAUUUCUGGUUUUGAUGCGUCUUUAAUUGAAGCUCUUCGAUUUUCAUUUGUUUUUUGUUGAAGUAUUCUAUUGGUUUUGAAAUUUCAGUACGAUAUGUUGGUUCCUUGUUUUGGGAAUUCUGAUUGUUGCUAUACUGUUUCUGGGUUUUGAAUCUUUUGGUGGAAGAUCUUUGGAUGGCUCUGUUUUAAUCCUCGAGAGCUUGUUUUUCAGUUUCUUCCAUUUCUGUGCUCAGAAAUUGAGCUUAGGAUUAUUAUUUCUUUGUUGUAAAAAGUCAAUUUUGGAAGAAUUAUUAACUUCCUGUUUUGAAGCCAGUUUCAAGAUCGCUGUGCAGAUAUUUUGUUGUCCUCUC